UGACCCGGUCGGGCGCGACAUCAAAAACCAAAGAACCGGGGAAAGAACCCAACCCACCCCUGCCGUCCCCGGCGAUCACUCUCCGGAGUGAAUAUGCCCAACUCGGCUGGCGCGGCGGGGUGGUUGUGGUGCAGCGUCUGCGACAACAACUCCAGACGUACUUCGGCCCUCGCGGGGACUGCAAUCCCGCUGCGAGGGCCUGAUCACCUAGGAAGAAGACGCUUCCCG
rnacentral:ncRNA from 1 species